rnacentral:rRNA from 1 species
GCGUUGUUCGGAAUUACUGGGCGUAAAGCGCGCGUAGGCGGCUUUGUAAGUCAGAGGUGAAAGCCUGGAGCUCAACUCCAGAACUGCCUUUGAGACUGCAUCGCUAGAAUUGUGGAGAGGUAAGUGGAAUUCCGAGUGUAGAGGUGAAAUUCGUAGAGAUCAGCAGGAACCCCCGUGGCGAAGGCGGCCACCUGGGCCGUACCUGACGCUGAGGCGCGAAGUCUAG